rnacentral:rRNA from 1 species
UGUGUAGGCGGUGCUCCAAGUCUGUUGUGAAAUCUCCCGGCUUAACCGGGAGGGUGCGGCGGAAACUGGUGUGCUAGAGGGUGGGAGAGGUAAGCGGAAUUCCUGGUGUAGCGGUGAAAUGCGUAGAUAUCAGGAGGAACACCUGUGGUGUAGACAGCUUACUGGACCACUUCUGACGCUGAGACACGAAAGCGUGGUAGCAAACA